UAAGAAAAUAAAUGUUCAAGAAAAUAUUAAAUAAGAGGGACAAAAACUAACAAUAAUUUUGAAGAGACACAAACCUCACCAAGAAAAAGAAAAACAAACCAAAAACAAAAGGACCAAGCAAAAAAAAUAAAGUGAACCAAACAAUAGACUAAAAAAUUGGGACUAAUAAAGUUGGAAUAAAAUUUCACCAAGUGAAUAAGUGAGAAUAAACUCCAAGAAAACGAGAGAUGAGUAA
rnacentral:lncRNA from 1 species